UGUUUUUGCUGUUUUCCCUUUUUUUUGUUUAUUCACUUAUCUUUUUUUUUAUAAUCCAAAUAUACGAAAUUAAUCACGUUGAGUCAUACGAUCGAAUCAAACGAAGAUGUCGAAUUCAAACGAACCCGUUCAUUUUUUUAUUAUCAUUUAUUGUAUCACGUUUUGUUCAAGUACGCGGAUUUAUCGUGUCGAGCCUAUCACGAAGAUGGUCGCACGAUUUUCGUAACAAAAUAUCCGAUGUUCGAUUGGUCAUUUUAACCAUGUCGAGCCUAUCAUGAAGAUGGCCGCAUGAUUUUUAUACCCAUGUCGAGCCUAUCACGAAGAUAGCAGCACGGUUUUUUUUUUUUUAUACCCAUGUCGAGCCUAUCACGAAGAUGGCCGCACGGUUGAUACAUACAACGGAAGCGAUAAUUUAAUGUCAAAUUUGAUCGGUUCGAAACCUAUCACGAAGAUGGUCAGGUUGAUCAAAUUGACAAAAAAAAACACACGGUUUGGAGAUUAUAAUGCAUAUACGCGCAACGAAAGCGACGAUUUUAAUGUUGGAUUUGAUCGGUUCGAAACCUAUCACGAAGAUGGUCGGGUUGAUCAAACCAACAAAAAAACCGUACUUACGCUGUGCAUAUGCAUGCGUAUCCCCUAUUAUUGUAGAAAUC
rnacentral:lncRNA from 1 species